AUCAGGUCUACCCAUUGAAGUCAAUGGGGUGAAUGGACAUCAGGUCUACCCAUUGGAGUCAAUGGGGUGAAUGGACAUCAGGUCUACCCAUUGGAGUCAAUGGGGUUAAAGGGACAUCAGGUCUACCCAUUAAAGUCAAUGGGGCAAAUGGGAUAUCAGGCCUACCCCUAAAGUUAAUGGGGUCCAGUGCUCUGUUU